CCUACGGGGGGCAGCAGUGGGGAAUAUUGGACAAUGGGCGAAAGCCUGAUCCAGCCAUGCCGCGUGUGUGAAGAAGGCCUUCGGGUUGUAAAGCACUUUCAGUGGGGAAGAAAGCCUUGGGGCUAAUACCCUCGAGGAAGGACAUCACCCACAGAAGAAGCACCGGCUAACUCCGUGCCAGCAGCCGCGGUAAUACGGAGGGUGCGAGCGUUAAUCGGAAUUACUGGGCGUAAAGCGCGCGUAGGCGGUCUGAUAAGCCGGUUGUGAAAGCCCCGGGCUCAACCUGGGAACGGCAUCCGGAACUGUCAGGCUAGAGUGCAGGAGAGGAAGGUAGAAUUCCCGGUGUAGCGGUGAAAUGCGUAGAGAUCGGGAGGAAUACCAGUGGCGAAGGCGGCUUUCUGGACUGACACUGACGCUGAGGUGCGAAAGCGUGGGUAGCAAACAGGAUUAGAUACCCUGGUAGUC
rnacentral:rRNA from 1 species